rnacentral:lncRNA from 1 species
UUUGGAACUGAAAAUGGGUGAAAGAGAUUUAUGUGUUUGUUUUAUUUUGAUGAAAGAUUGGUAUGAAGAAGUAAAGAGGGGACCACGUGGGAAAGAAGAAAAGAGACAAAUCCUCUUUUUCUCUCUGACUUGCUUUUGUUAUAUUUUGGUUUAUUAUUAUUUAUUUAUUUUUAGAAUAAUGCCACAUGUAGCCAUUUGAUUCGUUAGGUUAACUCUUUUUUUUUAAUAAAAAAAAUCAUGCCUUGAC